GACGAACGCUGGCGGCGUGCUUAACACAUGCAAGUCGAACGGUAAGGCCCUUCGGGGUACACGAGUGGCGAACGGGUGAGUAACACGUGGGUGAUCUGCCCUGCACUUCGGGAUAAGCCUGGGAAACUGGGUCUAAUACCGGAUAGGACCACUGCCUGCAUGGGUGGUGGUGGAAAGCUUUUGUGGUGUGGGAUGGGCCCGCGGCCUAUCAGCUUGUUGGUGGGGUGAUGGCCUACCAAGGCGACGACGGGUAGCCGGCCUGAGAGGGUGACCGGCCACACUGGGACUGAGAUACGGCCCAGACUCCUACGGGAGGCAGCAGUGGGGAAUAUUGCACAAUGGGCGCAAGCCUGAUGCAGCGACGCCGCGUGAGGGAUGACGGCCUUCGGGUUGUAAACCUCUUUCAGCACCGACGAAGCGCAAGUGACGGUAGGUGCAGAAGAUGGACCGGCCAACUACGUGCCAGCCGCCGCAGUAAAAC
rnacentral:rRNA from 1 species